AUUGAACGCUGGCGGCAGGCUUAACACAUGCAAGUCGAGCGGGGGAAGGUAGCUUGCUACUGGACCUAGCGGCGGACGGGUGAGUAAUGCUUAGGAAUCUGCCUAUUAGUGGGGGACAACAUCUCGAAAGGGAUGCUAAUACCGCAUACGUCCUACGGGAGAAAGCAGGGGAUCUUCGGACCUUGCGCUAAUAGAUGAGCCUAAGUCGGAUUAGCUAGUUGGGGGGGUAAAGGCCUACCAAGGCGACGAGCUGUAGCGGGUCUGGGAGGAUGGUCCGCCACACUGGGACUGGGACACGGCCCAGACUCCUACGGGAGGCAGCAGUGGGGAAUAUUGGACAAUGGGGGAACCCUGAUCCAGCCAUGCCGCGUGUGUGAAGAAGGCCUUAUGGUUGUAAAGCACUUUAAGCGAGGAGGAGGCUACUCUAGUUAAUACCUAGGGAUAGUGGACGUUACUCGCAGAAUAAGCACCGGCUAACUCUGUGCCAGCCGCCGCCGUAA
rnacentral:rRNA from 1 species